rnacentral:tRNA from 1 species
AAAAAGGUAAGCUAAAUAAGCUAAUGGGUUCAUACCCCACUUAUAGAGAUUAAUCCUCUUCUUUUUA